rnacentral:rRNA from 1 species
AUUGAACGCUGGCGGCAGGCCUAACACAUGCAAGUCGAACGGUAACAGGAAGAAGCUUGCUUCUUUGCUGACGAGUGGCGGACGGGUGAGUAAUGUCUGGGAAACUGCCUGAUGGAGGGGGAUAACUACUGGAAACGGUAGCUAAUACCGCAUAACGUCGCAAGACCAAAGAGGGGGACCUUCGGGCCUCUUGCCAUCGGAUGUGCCCAGAUGGGAUUAGCUAGUAGGUGGGGUAACGGCUCACCUAGGCGACGAUCCCUAGCUGGUCUGAGAGGAUGACCAGCCACACUGGAACUGAGACACGGUCCAGACUCCGACGGGAGGCAGCAGUGGGGAAUAUUGCACAAUGGGCGCAAGCCUGAUGCAGCCAUGCCGCGUGUAUGAAGAAGGCCUUCGGGUUGUAAAGUACUUUCAGCGGGGAGGAAGGGAGUAAAGUUAAUACCUUUGCUAAUUGACGUUACCCGCAGAAGAAGCACCGGCUAACUCCGUG